rnacentral:rRNA from 1 species
UACGUAGGGGCUAGCGUUGUCCGGAAUCAUUGGGCGUAAAGCGCGCGUAGGCGGCCCGGUAAGUCCGCUGUAAAAGUCAAAGGCUCAACCUUUGAAAUGUCAGUGGAUACUGCCGGGCUAGAGUCCGGAAGAGGCGAGUGGAACUCCUGGUGUAGCGGUGGAAUGCGCAGAUAUCAGGAAGAACACCGACGGCGAAGGCAGCUCGCUGGGACGGUACUGACGCUGAGGCGCGAAGCGUGGGGGAGCGAACAGG